rnacentral:piRNA from 1 species
UCUAAUGGUGAUUGGAACUCAAAGCCAGU